GUGGAAAAGAACUUUCUCUCCCUCAAACUUCAUUUAUUUCUCAUUUAUUUCACAAGAAUGGCGCGACAAUGCUCAUCUGCAAGGAAAAUUCUAAAUCUUUCUCCUCUGGAUUGACUGCCCUAACUGACGCACAUCCCUUAUGCCGUGAGCAAAACAUCCUCUGUUUCCACAUCUUCCCAAAGCUGAAUUGGGAAGCUCAACUCAAUGUGGAGCUUACAUGCAAGAAAUGGAGGAUAUGGUGUAGGCUGAGACAACUAUCAUUUGGACAACCAUACUUUGGGACAUAUAGCAAUUUUAAGGUAUGGGUCCUGAAGGAUAUCAUAUACAACAAUGGGUAUGAUCUCAUGGCUUGACUCAACAAGAUAUGAUAGCUUAUUUUGAUGGCUUUCCUUGGCUCUUCAAGGAGGAUUGAGAGGUUCUGUAGGUUGUGGGUAGGCAGAUGGAUUAUUUUGGGGUGGUAACUGCCUAUGUUAAGUUUUUUUUUAAUUUGUAUUAGGAUGGAUGUCAUAACCAUUUGUAGGAGGUAAAUGUGACAUAAGUAAGGUUUUUGUUUUUGGCAUUUGUCACUGCUAUGACAUCCUUGUUUUGCUUAUACAAAGUUGGUUGUACUUUGUUGGUUGAUAUUGUUACAUGAUGAGCCAACUAUAUAGAUGUAAAUUUUUGAUGAAAUUAAUGAAAAUGACUUAUUUUGGUACA